CGGGGUGCACCAGGCGCGAAAACUUUACAAUGCACGAAAGUGUGAUAAGGGAAUCCAAAGUGCUCAUGUUUAACAUGGGCUUUUGCCAAGGGUAAAUACCUUGGAGAAUAAGUGGUGGGUAAGACUGGUGCCAGCAGCCGCGGUAACCCCAGCGCCACAAGUGGGAGCCACAAUUAUUUGGCCUAAAGCGUCCGUAGCUGGUUACGUAAAUCUUUUGUGAAAUCGGAAAGCUCAACUUUCCGGCGUGCAGAAGACACUGCGUAGCUUGAGAUUGGGAGGGGUAAGGAGUAUUCCUAGGGAACCGGUAAAAUGGGAUAAUCCUAGGAGGGCUACCUGUGGCGAAGGCGCCUUACCAGAACAAGUCUGACAGUGAGGGACGAAGGCUAGGGGAGCGAACCGGAUUAGAUACCCGAGUAGUCCUAGCAGUAAACUCUGCGGGCUAGGUGUUACACCAUCUAUGUGAUUGUGUAGUGUCGUAGCGAAGGCAUUAAGCCCGCCGCCUGGGAAGUAUGGUCGCAAGACUGAAACUUAAAGGAAUUGGCGGGGGAGCACAAGGGCGAAUCG
rnacentral:rRNA from 1 species